UACGUAGGGGGCUAGCGUUGUCCGGAAUCAUUGGGCGUAAAGAGCGCGUAGGCGGCUAGAUAAGUCCGGUGUGAAAGUCACAGGCUCAACCUGUGAAUGCCGCUGGAAACUGUCUGGCUAGAGUCCGGAAGGGGCGAGUGGAAUUCCCGGUGUAGCGGUGAAAUGCGCAGAUAUCGGGAGGAACACCGGUGGCGAAGGCAGGUCUCUGGGCCACUACUGACGCUGAGAAGCGAAAGCAUGGGGAGCGAACAGG
rnacentral:rRNA from 1 species